rnacentral:rRNA from 1 species
GAUGAACGCUGGCGGCGUGCCUAAUACAUGCAAGUCGAGCGAACAGACGAGGAGCUUGCUCCUCUGACGUUAGCGGCGGACGGGUGAGUAACACGUGGAUAACCUACCUAUAAGACUGGGAUAACUUCGGGAAACCGGAGCUAAUACCGGAUAAUAUAUUGAACCGCAUGGUUCAAUAGUGAAAGACGGUUUUGCUGUCACUUAUCGAUGGAUCCGCGCCGCAUUAGCUAGUUGGUAAGGUAACGGCUUACCAAGGCAACGAUGCGUAGCCGACCUGAGAGGGUGAUCGGCCACACUGGAACUGAGACACGGUCCAGACUCCUACGGGAGGCAGCAGUAGGGAAUCUUCCGCAAUGGGCGCAAGCCUGACGGAGCACCGCCGCGUGAGUGAUGAAGGUCUUCGGAUCGUAAAACUCUGUUAUGAGGGAAGAACAAAUGUGUAAGUAACUAUGCACGUCUUGACGGUACCUAAUCAGAAAGCCACGGCUAACUACGUG